rnacentral:rRNA from 1 species
GGAGUUAGCCGGUGCUUCUUCUGUGAGUGAUGUCCUUCCUGCCGGCUAUUAACCCGCAGGCCUUCUUCCUCACUGAAAGUGCUUUACAACCCGAAGGCCUUCUUCACACACGCGGCAUGGCUGGAUCAGGGUUGCCCCCAUUGUCCAAUAUUCCCCACUGCUGCCUCCCGUAGGAGUCUGGGCCGUGUCUCAGUCCCAGUGUGGCUGAUCAUCCUCUCAGACCAGCUACGGAUCGUCGCCUUGGUGAGCCGUUACCUCACCAACCAGCUAAUCCGACAUAGGCUCAUCCGAUAGCGCGAGGCCCGAAGGUCCCCCGCUUUCCCCCGUAGGGCGUAUGCGGUAUUAGCCUGGGUUUCCCCAGGUUAUCCCCCACUACCGGGCAGAUUCCUAUGCAUUACUCACCCGUCCGCCGCUCGCCACCAGGGAGCAAGCUCCCCGUGCUGCCGCUCGACUUGCAUGUGUUAGGCUCGCCGCCACGCGUCAUCUGAGCAGAGACACACUCUACAGAGCGGCGGCGCGACGACGCG